rnacentral:tRNA from 1 species
AACAGUGUGGUGUAGUGGUUUGAAUGUUGGAUUAUUACUCUGGAGACCAAGGUUCAAUUCCCAACUUGGUCA